ACCACACAGGGAACGGAGAAACCACAGUCCCUAAACCUCCUCUCCUUCCCUUCCAUUAUUUCCAUUCCAAUAAUCUUUAUUAGGAAUAUGAUUCUUCUGGGACAAGGCACCACUAAAUCAGCAUUUCUUCCUAAAGAAUCCUGGUGUUCCAUGGAGCUCCUGAGCUGGGCCUACCCCUGCUUCGUGCACAGGAGCCGUGUUGACACAAUAUAUUUAGACUUGUGUAAUGUGUUUGACUCAGAGCUGCACAACAUUCUGAUUAAAACCAAUUAUCGCUGCACAAAAUCGGCGUGGCACAUACUAAACACUCCCAAAGUGCUGCAUGGCAGCUUGCAGAGGGGAGCUCUAAAUCUGGAACCAGCACUCAGGGGAGGUUUCCAGGUCCCUCUGGGGACUCACCAUGAGUUGGGCACAGAAGAUCCAGUGACAUUUUGGUGGCUGCGCUGGUUUGGGCUGGGAUGGAGCUUGUUCUCCUGUUUCUGCUGAGGCAGAGCAUUGAGGGAGUGGCUCAAGGCCAACCCACCACAGCUUCCUUCUGAAAAGCUUCAGAACAACUUGCUGAUGUGGAAAACUCAAGUUUUCUGGAGCACAGAGCCCUUCUGCACCAUUGGGAAUUGUGUGUUUACACUGAUUCCCUACAGCACCACUUGAACUCUUCAACUCCUCCUCUCCCAAGGAUGAAAUCCUGUGGCAUGGAAACUCCAAUGCAAUGGAAAACUUGACUCCUUGGACUUCAUCCCUUCCUUGUCCUAUGAGUGAAGUAAUCAGUACCUAAGACAGAGCAAGGGUCACUCUGGAUUGUGGUGAGUGGCCACCCUCAGUCUGUGGCACAAGAGGGAGACACAUCUGGAAAGGAUCUACAGUGGGAUGAAGCCCUGAAUUAAUCACAUUUUGGGAAUG